GGUUAAGCGACUAAGCGUACACGGUGGAUGCCCUGGCAGUCAGAGGCGAUGAAGGACGUGCUAAUCUGCGAAAAGCGCCGGCGAGGUGAUAUGAACCUUUGACCCGGCGAUGUCCGAAUGGGGAAACCCAGUGUGAUUCGUCACACUAUCGUUAACUGAAUACAUAGGUUAACGAGGCGAACCGGGGGAACUGAAACAUCUAAGUACCCCGAGGAAAAGAAAUCAACCGAGAUUCCCCCAGUAGCGGCGAGCGAACGGGGAGCAGCCCAGAGUCUGAAUCAGCUUGUGUGUUAGUGGAAGCGUCUGGAAAGUCGCACGGUACAGGGUGACAGUCCCGUACACGAAAACGCACAGGUUGUGAACUCGAAGAGUAGGGCGGGACACGUGGUAUCCUGUCUGAAUAUGGGGGGACCAUCCUCCAAGGCUAAAUACUCCUGACUGACCGAUAGUGAACCAGUACCGUGAGGGAAAGGCGAAAAGAACCCCGGCGAGGGGAGUGAAAAAGAACCUGAAACCGUGUACGUACAAGCAGUGGGAGCACCUUCGUGGUGUGACUGCGUACCUUUUGUAUAAUGGGUCAGCGACUUAUAUUCUGUAGCAAGGUUAACCGUAUAGGGGAGCCGAAGGGAAACCGAGUCUUAACUGGGCGUUAAGUUGCAGGGUAUAGACCCGAAACCCGGUGAUCUAGCCAUGGGCAGGUUGAAGGUUGGGUAACACUAACUGGAGGACCGAACCGACUAAUGUUGAAAAAUUAGCGGAUGACUUGUGGCUGGGGGUGAAAGGCCAAUCAAACCGGGAGAUAGCUGGUUCUCCCCGAAAGCUAUUUAGGUAGCGCCUCGUGAACUCAUCUUCGGGGGUAGAGCACUGUUUCGGCUAGGGGGCCAUCCCGGCUUACCAACCCGAUGCAAACUACGAAUACCGAAGAAUGUUAUCACGGGAGACACACGGCGGGUGCUAACGUCCGUCGUGAAGAGGGAAACAACCCAGACCGCCAGCUAAGGUCCCAAAGUCAUGGUUAAGUGGGAAACGAUGUGGGAAGGCACAGACAGCCAGGAUGUUGGCUUAGAAGCAGCCAUCAUUUAAAGAAAGCGUAAUAGCUCACUGGUCGAGUCGGCCUGCGCGGAAGAUGUAACGGGGCUAAACCAUGCACCGAAGCUGCGGCAGCGAC
rnacentral:rRNA from 1 species